rnacentral:rRNA from 1 species
CCUACGGGAGGCAGCAGUGGGGAAUUUUGGACAAUGGGCGCAAGCCUGAUCCAGCAAUGCCGCGUGCAGGAUGAAGGCCUUCGGGUUGUAAACUGCUUUUGUACGGAGCGAAACGGUCUGCUUUAAUACAGUAGGCUAAUGACGGUACCGUAAGAAUAAGCACCGGCUAACUACGUGCCAGCAGCCGCGGUAAUACGUAGGGUGCGAGCGUUAAUCGGAAUUACUGGGCGUAAAGCGUGCGCAGGCGGUUAUAUAAGACAGAUGUGAAAUCCCCGGGCUCAACCUGGGACCUGCAUUUGUGACUGUAUAGCUAGAGUACGGUAGAGGGGGAUGGAAUUCCGCGUGUAGCAGUGAAAUGCGUAGAUAUGCGGAGGAACACCGAUGGCGAAGGCAAUCCCCUGGACCUGUACUGACGCUCAUGCACGAAAGCGUGGGGAGCAAACAGGAUUAGAUACCCUGGUAGUCCACGCCCUAAACGAUGUCAACUGGUUGUUGGGUCUUCACUGACUCAGUAACGAAGCUAACGCGUGAAGUUGACCGCCUGGGGAGUACGGCCGCAAGGUUGAAACUCGAAAGGAAUUGACGGCUGAGACGNGCGAGACGACGACGAGGGAGAGG